rnacentral:tRNA from 1 species
GGAUUUUUAAGAUAUUUAAUCUUUAUGUUUUUUAAACAUAAAAAGCAUUAAGCAAUUUCC